rnacentral:lncRNA from 1 species
AGAAAGUAAAAAAGGUAAGCUGCCCCAUGGAAGCAGCAGUCCAACAGCUAUCAACCACCACUAAGUCCGUAGAUAUAUUAACCCAUUUCCGAUCAGCUCCUUCUUCCACUCCGACCAUUUUUUCUUCCCUCCGGCGACCUCAUAAUGGCUUCUCAAGUUCCUAGAAUCAAGCUCGGUUCUCAAGGCCUCGAAGUGUCCGCACAAGGUCUCGGCUGCAUGGGCAUGUCCGACUUCUACGGCCCUCUCCCAAGCCCGAAUCCGACAUGGUCGCUUUGAUCCACCACGCCGUCGACCGUGGCAUCACUCGUUUCGGCACCUCCGAUAACUACGGCCCAUUUACCAACGAAAUUCUCGUCGGUAAGGCUUUCAAGGACGGCAACAGAGACAAGGUCGAAGUUGCCACUAAAUUUGGAAAUACUUUCGCCGACGAUGGUAAGAGGGAGAUCCGUGGAGACCCUGCCUAUGUGAGAGCCGCUUGCGAGGCUAGUUUGAAGCGUCUCGAUGUUGACUGCAUCAAUCUCUAUUACCAGCAUCGGAUUGACACGAGGGUUCCGGUUGAAGUCACGGUUUGUUGCUUUCUUCCUUCUACUCUGUUGCUGCCAUACGUCGGCCUUUGAAAAGUAAUUCUAAGAUCGCAGCUGGCCUUGGCCUGGGUUCGUCACCAAGGGAAUGAUGUGUGUCCAAUUCCCGGAAGAACUAAGAUCGAAAAUCUCAACCAAAACAUUGGAGCUUUAGCGGUAAAACUCACACCUCAAGAACUGGCUGUGCUCGAAGGCUUUGCUGCAUAUGAUGUGGUCAAAGGCGAUCGUUAUGGAAGUGCCUUGGCGACUUGGAAGACCUCUGAGACACCACCCCUCUCUUCAUGGAAAGCCUAAGGUCAUACCUCUCUCUAAAGCUGCUUUACAUGCAAUGGAUUUGUCGUUAUGCUUUUGGAGUCUGCUGUCUGUUUUUGAAUUUUGUGUAAUAAAUCUAUGAUGAUCAUUUUUUAAUGAUCAAAGAAAAAAGAGAGUAGAAGCUCUUUACUUUCAAGAUGUCACUAUUUAUCAACGCUAAUGAAAAGUUUAUGAUAAUGGAGUUUUUAGUGUUGGUUUAGUGAAAAGUUUGGUUUCUUGAAAACAAUAAUAAAAAAAUGUGUUCGAGUAGUGAUAUUAAAAUGUCAUUUUCAUCAUUAUACUCGUGGAUUCUUUAUAUUUUAAAAACGAUUCUUUAUAUAUAUAUAUUUUUUAAAAUUUAUUCUUUGUAUUUGUAUGAACGUAGUUCAACCUUUAACCUCUUAAUCAAGGUAGUCUAUUGACUAUUUUAUGUUUAAUCGAACUAUAUUUACGUUGGCUAUCGAUAAUAAUAGUGUUCAUCCACAAAAAGAUAAUAGCGUUCAUGUAAUUUUUAUACUUUUCACAUUUUAUAAUUAACGUCGUCUUUCCUUGAAGCUAAUAUUGAUGCGCAUGUUCAUAAACACUAUGGUUAAAUUGAAUAUAUACGAUUGAUAGAAUUAUAUUAAUUAGGAGAUGAGGACUCCUUGUGGAGAUGUCAACUCAUUAAUCUAUUGGAUAUUUAUUUAUAUAAAAGAUUUAUAGAACUAUAACAUGAAGUAGUUUUGUAGUUUUGUGAUGAAUUUAUAGAACCAUACCUAAGAACCCAAAUAAUGCACCUAUAUGAACAAGAUGAGUAAUUUAGGCUCUAAUUUGAAAUGUUUGAGUGAGUACGUUAUAAUAGCUUACCUAAACGUAACAAAAAGUAAGGUUUAAACUCUAUUUUUAGCUUAGUGGUUAAACUAAUCAAUUAUUUCUUCCUCCGAUGUCCGAUAACUUGAGUCAUCAACUACCAACUCGAAUGACUACCUUUGGUGACCGACUACAGUGUUCACUUCGACAGAUUCCUUUAGCGACCAACUUCAAUGACCACCUCGUGACCAAUUGUAGUGAUUACUUCGACAACCCAGUCCAACGAAGAUCACCUUCGAACAUAAUUAUGACCACCUCUAAUUACCAACUAUCCAACUCCACAAACCACCUUUUAGCACCUUAAAUGGAUAUAGAGAUCAUAUGAGUUUUAUUUCCCCUUUUUUUUUCUUUUCAUUUACACCUUUCUUUCCUUUUUUAUUUUGUUUCUAUAUAGCAUUUGUUAAUAUAUUGGUAUAUUGAUAGAUAUUGAUUGAAAUCUAUUUAUAAUUAACCAAUAUAAAAUUUUGGUAUAUUUUGUUAAUACUUUUAUGAAUUUUAUCGGAAGAUUAAUUUUCUAAUUAAUAAUUCCGUUAUUUUGAAGUUGGAAGGCCUGCCGGCCAGACAACAGGAAAAAAAAAAGGGUAAAAUUCAUAAAUUGAUUUCAAUUUAUAAAAUUUCGCCGGAAAAAGGGCAAAAAGGUAACCCCCAACGACGCAGCAGCCAUCAGCUACCAACCACCACUAAAUCCGUAGAUAAAUUGACCCAUUCCCCAUCUCCUUCUUCCAAUCCGACCAUUUUUCUUCUCUCCGGCGACCUCAUAAUGGCUUCUCAAGUUCCUAGAAUCAAGCUCGGUUCUCAAGGUCUCGAAGUGUCCGCACAAGGUCUUGGCUGCAUGGGCAUGUCCGCCUUCUACGGCCCUCCCAAGCCCGACUCCGACAUGAUCGCUCUGAUCCACCACGCCGU